rnacentral:tRNA from 1 species
GGAGAUGUGCCGGAGUGGUUGAACGGGCUGGUCUCGAAAACCAGUAUGGCCGCAAGGUCAUCGGGGGUUCGAAUCCCUCCAUCUCCGCCA